rnacentral:rRNA from 1 species
GAUUUCUGAACUGAAAUACUUGGCCGGCCACGGUUUCGUGUGUUAGUGCUUUGUAUUCUGUUCAUCCUUUCAAUCGCUAUUCAGCUUUCUUCAUUGAUUGUUGAGUGGUAUUGAAUCUUUUACUUUGAAAAAAUUAGAGUGUUUCAAGCAGGCUUUAUGCUAUGAAUACAUUAGCAUGGAAUAAUAAUUUAGGACUUCGGUUCUAUUUUGUUGGUUUCUAGGACUGAAGUAAUGAUUGAUAGGGAUAGUUGGGGGUGCUAGUAUUCAGCGGCCAGAGGUGAAAUUCUCGGAUUCGCUGAAGACUAACUUAUGCGAAAGCAUU